AGAACGAACGCUGGCGGCAGGCUUAACACAUGCAAGUCGAGCGCCCAGCAAUGGGAGCGGCGGACGGGUGAGUAACACGUGGGAACAUGCCCUUUGGUACGGGACAACUCAGGGAAACUUGAGCUAAUACCGUAUGAGCCGGUAACGGGAAAGAUUUAUCGCCAAAGGAAUGGCCCGCGUCCGAUUAGCUAGUUGGUGAGGUAAUGGCUCACCAAGGCACCGAUCGGUAGCUGGUUUGAGAGAACGACCAGCCACACUGGGACUGAGACACGGCCCAGACUCCUACGGGAGGCAGCAGUGGGGAAUCUUGGACAAUGGGGGCAACCCUGAUCCAGCCAUGCCGCGUGAGUGAUGAAGGCCUUCGGGUUGUAAAACUCUUUCGACGGGGACGAUAAUGACGGUACCCGUAGAAGAAGCUCCGGCUAACUUCGUGCCAGCAGCCGC
rnacentral:rRNA from 1 species